UACGGAGGAUGCAAGCGUUAUCCGGAAUGAUUGGGCGUAAAGCGUCCGCAGGUGGCUAUGUAAGUCUGCUGUUAAAGGGUCUGGCUCAACCAGAUAAAGGCAGUGGAAACUACAUGGCUAGAGUGCGUUCGGGGCAGAGGGAAUUCCUGGUGUAGCGGUGAAAUGCGUAGAUAUCGGGAGGAACAUCAGUGGCGAAGGCGGCCCUCUGGUCCAGUACUGACACUCAAGUGCGAAAGCGUGGGGAGCAAACAGG
rnacentral:rRNA from 1 species